rnacentral:rRNA from 1 species
GAUUAACGCUGGCGGCGUGCAUAACACAUGCAAGUCGAACGAUGAAACUUAAAUGAUUUCUUCGGAAUGAACUUAAGUGGAUUAGUGGCGGACGGGUGAGUAACGCGUGAGUAACCUGCCUUACACAAGGGGAUAGCCGUUGGAAACGACGAAUAAUACCCUAUGAUGUUUCUAUCUCGCAUGAGAUAUUAACCAAAGUGUUAGCGGUGUAAGAUGGACUUGCGACUGAUUAGCUAGUUGGUGAGAAAAAAGCCCACCAAGGCAACGAUCAGUAGCCGGCUUGAGAGCGUGUACGGCCACAUUGGGACUGGGACACGGCCCAGACUCCUACGGGAGGCAGCAGUGGGGAAUUUUGCACACCGGGGGAAACCAGAAUGCAGCGACGCCGCGUAGUUUAGAAGGCGUUAGGGUUGUAAAAAUCUUUUGUAUAGGAAGAAAAUGACAGUACUCUACGAAUAAGGUCCGGCUAAUUACGUG